rnacentral:rRNA from 1 species
UACGUAGGGUGCGAGCGUUGUCCGGAAUUACUGGGCGUAAAGAGCUUGUAGGCGGUUUGUCGCGUCUUCUGUGAAAACUCACAGCUCAACUGUGAGCUUGCAGGGGAUACGGGCAGACUAGAGUACUUCAGGGGAGACUGGAAUUCCUGGUGUAGCGGUGAAAUGCGCAGAUAUCAGGAGGAACACCGGUGGCGAAGGCGGGUCUCUGGGAAGUAACUGACGCUGAGAAGCG